UUUUGUUGAAUCUGUGCAUAUGGGGCGAUCCCAAGAGACUCUAGUUUUUGUUUUUCUUUGUAUCUACUUUGUUAUGCUUUCUGAUUAUCUUAAAUUUUGAAUUUGGAUUUGGAUUUGGAUUUGAUUUGCUUGCAUAAUCACUGGUGCAGAAUGAAAAACCUUUUAAUUAGCUGUCAGUGUUCUAUACUCGUCUACUCUACUCAUCUUCAUCGCUCAGUCUCAGACUCUCUAUACGACUCUAACAACAGUAAGAUAAGAAGUUUAUAAGUUGAUUUUCGCUAAUGAAGAAGUCAACAAGUUCGCAUCGCCUAGUAUGAAUACUUACAUCUCCGUAUUUUUUAUAAAUUCUUUCCCUCCUUACUUUUUGCUAGCUGUUGGAGGAGGCUGAGGAGGGAAUGGAUCAUUCUACUCUAAUGUCCAAGCCUGAGAUUCUUGUGCAGGAUAUUAUUUGGGCAGAAGCACAUCAGAAGAGUUUGUGUGACAUUGGGCGUCUUCAGUAGAGCUGCAGGGAAAAUUAUUGUACUUAAAUUUUUAAUUUCCAUUUGAGGAUACUUUUACGCUUUUAAGUAUAGGUAUGGACUGCUAGUAUUGGAUUUGGUCAGCUGUACAUACAUUUUGGCAAUGGUAUAAAAACAAGUAUAUUUUUGCUUCAAUACAAGAACUGUCGUAGAAUGGGACCCACGAAUAACAAACCAGAGUGGCAGAUUUCUUCAAAACCAGAUUCCAGAAUUGGGUGGUAAUCUGGCAUUUAAUGGUAACAUUUAAUAAUA